GUGAAUCAUCAAAUUUUUGAACGCAAAUUGCACUCUCCGGUUUUCCGGGAGAGUAUGCCUGUUUGAGGGUCAGCCUAAAAAAAAUCGACAUUGUUGCUGUUAUUUAAUGGUGACUUUCGUCGGAGAUUGGGUUAUCUUAAACCUUUUUUUUUUUUUGUUUAAGCGGCUUAAAAUUUUUUUUCACAAUUCCAUGAACGGUUCUAAGAUUUUUAUUUCUUUUGCUUUUAAGGUUUAUCUAUCUUUUUUUUAGCUUUACCUUUCCA
rnacentral:misc_RNA from 1 species